UACGUAGGGGGCAAGCGUUGUCCGGAAUCAUUGGGCGUAAAGAGCGUGUAGGCGGCCCGGUAAGUCCGCUGUGAAAGUCGGGGGCUCAACCCUCGAAUGCCGGUGGAUACUGUCGGGCUAGAGUGCGGAAGAGGCGAGUGGAAUUCCUGGUGUAGCGGUGAAAUGCGCAGAUAUCAGGAGGAACACCUAUUGCGAAGGCAGCUCGCUGGGACGUAACUGACGCUGAGACGCGAAAGCGUGGGGAGCAAACAGG
rnacentral:rRNA from 1 species